CGCAAUCAGCCGAUCGGUGGCGAUUGCUUUCAGCUCGGCCAUGCUGCAAUUAAUUUCGUCUCGAAAUUAUAAUUUUUUUUUUUUUUUAAUAUUAAGUAGUACCGCUUAUUAUUUUAACAGGUUUUAUUCUAUCUGCGGAAAGGAUCGUAUCCAGGGGUUUCUGCUUAAUAUUAAAGCCUCGGAUGUCCUUAACGACAUAGCGACUAUUGCCCAGACUUUUUGCAAUAAGGUAAGGCCCCUUAUAAUUUGGUUUGAGCUUUGAGCUCGUACCUAUUUUGGGGGCAGUGUCCCUUAUCAAAACGUACUCCCCUGGUUUAUAUCGCGUUGGCUUGAUACUGUCCUCAUCGACGGUGACAAGGGCCUUCGUGAAAUUGGCUAGAGAGUGAUCCGAAUGGCUGCGUUGGUCAAAACCUAACAUUAGUUUUGCUGGACUUGAUUUAG